AUUGAACGCUAGCGGGAUGCUUUACACAUGCAAGUCGAACGAGUGGCGGACGGGUGAGUAAUAUAUCGGAACGUGCCCAGUAUCGGGGGAUAACUACUCGAAAGAGUGGCUAAUACCGCCUACUAUUGGAGCGGCCGAUAUGGGAUUAGCUAGUUGGUGGGGUAACGGCUCACCAAGGCAACGAUCCGUAGCUGGUUUGAGAGGACGACCAGCCACACUGGGACUGAGAAACGGCCCAGACUCCUACGGGAGGCAGCAGUGGGGAAUGUUGGACAAUGGGGGAAACCCUGAUCCAGACAUCCCGCGUGUAUGAGAAGGCCUGGGGGUUGUAAAGUACUUUUGGUAGAGAAGCGGUAUCGGCAGAAUAAGCACCGGCUAACUACGUGCCAGCAGCCGCGGUAAUUC
rnacentral:rRNA from 1 species